rnacentral:rRNA from 1 species
UACGUAGGGGGCAAGCGUUAUCCGGAAUCAUUGGGCGUAAAGCGCGUGUAGGCGGUUCUGUAAGUCCGCUCUGAAAGCCCAGGGCUCAACCCUGGGAGGCGGGUGGAUACUACAGAACUGGAGUACGGAGGAGGAGAUUGGAAUUCCUGGUGUAGCGGUGAAAUGCGCAGAUAUCAGGAGGAACACCAACAGCGAAGGCAGAUCUCUGGGACGUUACUGACGCUGAGACGCGAAAGCGUGGGGAGCAAACAGG